rnacentral:miRNA from 1 species
GGGCUACACUCUAUUGGCAUG